rnacentral:rRNA from 1 species
AGUGAACGCUGGCGGCAGGCCUAACACAUGCAAGUCGAACGGCAGCACAGUGGAGCUUGCUCCAUGGGUGGCGAGUGGCGGACGGGUGAGGAAUACAUCGGAAUCUGCCCAGUCGUGGGGGAUAACAUAGGGAAACUUAUGCUAAUACCGCAUACGACCUACGGGUGAAAGCGGGGGAUCGCAAGACCUCGCGCGAUUGGAUGAGCCGAUGUCCGAUUAGCUAGUUGGCGGGGUAAUGGCCCACCAAGGCGACGAUCGGUAGCUGGUCUGAGAGGAUGAUCAGCCACACUGGAACUGAGACACGGUCCAGACUCCUACGGGAGGCAGCAGUGGGGAAUAUUGGACAAUGGGCGCAAGCCUGAUCCAGCCAUGCCGCGUGGGUGAAGAAGGCCUUCGGGUUGUAAAGCCCUUUUGUCCGGAAAGAAACGCCUCGGAUUAAUACUCUGGGGUAAUGACGGUACCGGAAGAAUAAGCCCCGGCUAACUUCGUGCCAGCAGCCGCAGUAAGAC